rnacentral:rRNA from 1 species
UACGAAGGGGGCUAGCGUUGCUCGGAAUCACUGGGCGUAAAGCGCGCGUUAGGCGGCCAGAUAAAGUCCGGUGUGAAAGUCACAGGCUCAACCUGUGAAUGCCGCUGGAAACUGUCUGGCUUGAGUCCGGAAGGGGCGAGUGGAAUUCCUGGUGAUAGCGGUGAAAUGCGCAGAUAGUCGGGAGGAACACCUAUGGCGAAGGCAGACUCGCUGGGGACGUUAACUGGACGCUGAGACGCGAAAGCGUGGGGAGCAAACAGGAUAG